rnacentral:rRNA from 1 species
UACGGAGGGUGCAAGCGUUGUUCGGAUUUACUGGGCGUAAAGCGCGCGCAGGCGGGUGGACAAGUCGGAAGUGAAAUCCCAGGGCUCAACCCUGGGGCUGCUCCCGAAACUGUCCGCCUAGGGACUGGUAGAGGCUGGUAGAAUUCCCGGUGUAGCGGUGGAAUGCGUAGAGAUCGGGAAGAAUACCUGUGGCGAAGGCGGCCAGCUGGGCCAGGUCCGACGCUGAGGCGCGAAAGCGUGGGGAGCAAACAGG